ACAGAGAGUCCAGAGAGUCUGACCGACUCGAGUCGAGUCAGUCAGUCCAGGAGAAGGAGUGAGUGUGGAACGACGUGGCCCAUGGCCGCGGCCAGGCCGCGGCCGUUGCCGUUGCCUGGCGAGCACCCUUGGUGUCCGCGACUAGCUCCGCGGUGUCGGCGGCGGCGGUGACCAGCUUGCAAGCCAGCGGACCGAGGCGCCGAGGGACGCCGCGAGCUGGCCGCUAGCAGCACCACCAUGAUGCCUGGAUGACGCCAAAGGACGCGGAAGGACAAACCGCGAGUCCAACGUGCAGGCCUGCAGCCCAGUGACGUGAGUGACGUGCAGCAGCCCAUGCCUGCUCGCGGUUGCCCAGCCCAGUCUGCGGCGUCGGCGGCAGCCCAGCCCACCCCACACCAGCGAACCGAGGCCUGAGGGACCAGAAGACGGCAGAGGGACUCCAUGUGCUGCUGGCGCAUGCUGGCGCCGCGUCACCAUGACGCCGCCGCGUCACCCUGAAGGACCACCGUGACUCGUUCAGCCUUUCAGACGUGCUGCUAACAACGGCAAUGUAGCUGUGGAAUGGAUCUCGGACAACUCAUUCCAAAUGAAAUGUUUUCGUCCAUCAAGGAGUUUUCAAAUUUCCCUAUCUGAUAUAUAUUCUAAGGAAGUAUUGGAGCCGCUGCCUUCGGAGUGAUUCCUUUUCAACACUCCUUUUAGAAGAGCCACAACGGUCAUCCCGAUGGUUCCCCUCUCUAGGUGGGGCAUGACGUUUUCGUGCGUGAGAGGGAUUGCGAUGGGGCGGCCACUGCCGCCUCUGUCCUAAUGAUUGCGGAAGCUGUGCCUGUCUGGAGACUCGAUUGGUUCCGCAUGAAGGGCCAGACCAAGAAGCCCCACAACCGACACAGAUUCAAAAUUCACCUUCUUGCUGGGCUCACUGCAUUUUGGUUACCAUUCAUGUAAAUUAAUUCUGGUUGUUGUUUUGGAUAAGCUGGAUGAGUGUGUGAUAAUAAGCACUACUCGGAAGGCCCAUGUCCUCGUGAAGUCUGGCUCCCGGAAGAGGGGGUGGGGGCUAGUCCAAUGUCUCUAGCAAAAUAAUUCUCAUCUACAGCCAAAACCAGAAAACCCUCGAAAAACAUACAACCUGCCUCUCUCAAAAAAGCCAAAACUCUCAACUUGUGAUGUUCUCGUGUGAGUUUUUUUUGGAUUUUUGGCCAGGGGGCUCACUUGUUCUGCAAUCGUAAUGGGCUUUGUCUCCUCUGUCGUUUUUUCAACUCGUCGAUCUUUCUCGUUUAGUGAUCAGUUUUGAAAUUUCACAGUGGGGACAUGCUUCGAAUUAAGUUGCUUUGUGAGUGGAUCUCCUGGUAGUCUGUGUGAUGCGAAGCGUUUUGUCACGGAGCUGACUCGAUCGCUACAAACACCCUGCGACGACGCUGUGCGGCGCAACGCCCGCUAGGCAGGACACUGUCCCCACCUCCGAGGCCAGCGGCCUUUACGUCACGGCCGGGACGGUGCUGCCCCCGUAGUCCGCAUUGUCACUCUUUCUGUGUCACUUUUUCGGCAUACUUUUCGAUUUGCUCUAAAUUAUUGUAUCUUUAUUAUUUUUUUUUCAUCCUAUUGAUGGUAAAUUCUUCUUGAUUGUUUUUCAGCCCAUGUUUAUUUGUAUUUAUCACCCAGCAGAAUAAAUAUCAGUUAUGUACAUU